rnacentral:lncRNA from 1 species
CGGGGACUUGGUCGGCCGACCUGAACCGGUGGGCCCGGUUCAGGCAAUAGGUCAAGGCAUUGUAGGAAGCGAAGGUGUGCUUGAAGCCCUUUUGCUUACCUGCCCAGUGGAAGAGCUUGGAGGCCGAAACGGGGUCGUUUUGGACCUUGAGGACCUCGGCGACCAGGUCGGGCGUGACGCGGCGGAGCUUCUGGAGCUCCGAGACGACCGGCGGGCCCCAGCGGUUGCGGUUCUUGCGGAAGGCGUCGAGGAUGAAGCGGGCGAUGGGGGAGAGGAAGGAGAGGGAGACGGCGGGGUUGGGGUGGAGGAGGUGGACGGCGGAGAUUGGUGGGGGUCCCACUUGGAGAGAUCGAAGGGCUGGGAUUGAGUUGGGGUGGGGUUGGGUUUUGGGGGGAGAGGCGGCUGCCGCGGACGGUGGGGCGGUUCCGGGAGGGGUUGCGGUGGCCGUAGAAUAAGGAGAACUUGGGAGGAGGGGGCAUUCUGAUGGCUACUCCGUCACUCUGGAGAAGUACCUUCUCAUUUUGGAGGCCAUUAAUAUAGUUUACAUGAUUUGGAGGGGUCAAUCAUCAAAUUUUGUGACAAUUUAUAUAUAAAAAGGGGGAUUUUAUAUACAACCAUGGAAAAGCUUGGAGGGGCCAUGGCCAUCUCAAGCAACAAUAAGGCUCCCCCG